rnacentral:rRNA from 1 species
UAGGGAAUCUUCCACAAUGGACGCAAGUCUGAUGGAGCAACGCCGCGUGAGUGAAGAAGGCUUUCGGGUCGUAAAACUCUGUUAUUGAAGAAGAACGUGCGUGACAGUAACUGGUCAUGCAGUGACGGUAUUCAAUCAGAAAGUCACGGCUAACUACGUGCCAGCAGCCGCGGUAAUACGUAGGUGGCAAGCGUUGUCCGGAUUUAUUGGGCGUAAAGCGAGUGCAGGCGGUCUUUUAAGUCUGAUGUGAAAGCCUUCGGCUUAACCGAAGAAGGGCAUCGGAAACUGGGAGACUUGAGUGCAGAAGAGGAGAGUGGAACUGCCAUGUGUAGCGGUGAAAUGCGUAGAUAUAUGGAAGAACACCAGUGGCGAAGGCGGCUCUCUGGUCUGUAACUGACGCUGAGGCUCGAAAGCGUGGGUAGCAAACAGGAUUAGAUACCCUGGUAGU